rnacentral:lncRNA from 10 species
CUUCAGGCCAUCUGGAUGUAUACGUGCAAGUCACAGGGGAUGUGAUGGCUUGGCUUGGGAUCAGAGACCUGACAGUUAUCAUCCUUGUGAGCCAAGAAGAUUGAUACAUGACUGGAGCCUGAAUGGUAGAACUUUUUCAGAAGUGAGGAGUCUGUUGGCCCAGAAGAUCUGCGGUAAGAUCUGCCUCAACAUACCUUACUCAUUUUUUUCAAAGAGACUCUAGAGUCUAAAAUGAACAACCAAUCAAUUCUACAAACAUUGCAUCAUGAGGAGUUGCUGCACCUCUUCUCCAGGAUUUGCAAAACGUGUAGUCCAAAUCGAGUUCGGCUAGAACUGGUCUGUCAUCAAGAUAUGGCUCAUGAAAGAGAUUGGUGUUUAGGAGGCUGGGAAAAGGAAAUAUUUUGAGAGACUUCAUGUGCUCCGCACAUGGAGGUGGCUUCCUUUUGCCUCAGGUGAAGGGAGCUUCAACAAGAUCACUCAGAGUUUGAUCAAUGAUCUUAGAAUUUGCAGAACAUAGGGACUGCCAUUUGACUCACCCUUUAGAAGUCAGGAGGAAAGGUUACGUGGCUGGCACUUCUCAUGUCUGGGAAGGAACAACUGUGAAGUGCUGACCUAGACGAAUGUUGCACUUCCGCUGAUGAGUAGGCAAUGGCGAAUGUUUUCCAGGGUCCAAAUGUGGACCCGGCAACAGAGAGGCUGUCUGUAAUCACUUUAUAAGAGACACUAACAACAAUGACCACUGGGACUAAAGAGAGCACAACGGAAGUAGUUCUGCCAGAAGGGCUGAGGAGAGGGCUGAGCAACCACCCUCAGGGGAGGCAGACCCACAUCAAAGACAUCUCAGCAGUCCCUUUCCCAUGAAAGAAAGAGCUAGAAAUUGUCCAUUUGACACACACACAAACCAGAUCCCAGAUUGCAAUUGAUUCAGAUAAUGAAAAGCUUGUUCUUUUCACUUGCUGUUCUAGCCUAACCAUGUAGGUGUCAGAAGCAGUUGUAGGCUAGGAGAGAAGUCGGAGCAAUACAGAAGCCAGUUCUGCCUUUGCCUCAAGAUCCACUGUCCACUCAGAGGCAGGCUGGCACAUGGGGGAUGAGAACAUUCCAAGAAAGAUGUGAAUCUGGAAUUUUCAUUUAUGCAGUAGAUGGGGAUUUACUACUGAAAGGAACAUGUUUUGGCAACUAAUAGUGACCAAAAGAAUUUGUACUUACUAAAAAUUAUCUUAAAAGCAUGGGAUUACCCUAGCAUUUUGUUUCAGAAACUGAAAUUAACAGAAAACUAUAAAAUUACUUUCUGCCUGAAACCUAAGAAGGUGAACUCAUGCCAGAAACCAGUUACAUUCACAAUUACCUGGAUUUUGUUAUUUCCUACAAUGAAUAAAACUUAUUAUAAAGCAGAAAAGC